rnacentral:rRNA from 1 species
GGGCUACACACGUCAUACAAUGGCUGGUACAAAGGGUUGCCAACCCGCGAGGGGGAGCUAAUCCCAUAAAGCCAGUCGUAGUCCGGAUCGCAGUCUGCAACUCGACUGCGUGAAGUCGGAAUCGCUAGUAAUCGUGGAUCAGAAUGUCACGGUGAAUA